AUGAUGUUGAAAGAAAAACAAGAUAAAGAUUCUGAACUUCAAGUCCUUUUUGUUAAGCUGGGAUUCAAUUACAGGGUGGUUUUGAAAAUGGUUGGGAGGUUUGGUUCAUAUCAAGGCUAUUGGGAAGCAAAGGCAAAAGGAAAACACCAAGAUGACAUGGAGUUGGAACAAAGACGCAUAACACGAAGUUUUGGAAGCUUGAAGUUUGAAACAUGA